rnacentral:rRNA from 1 species
AUUGAACGCUGGCGGCAUGCUUUACACAUGCAAGUCGAACGGCAGCACGGGCUUCGGCCUGGUGGCGAGUGGCGAACGGGUGAGUAAUACAUCGGAACGUACCCAGAAGUGGGGGAUAACGCAGCGAAAGUUGCGCUAAUACCGCAUACGUUCUACGGAAGAAAGUGGGGGAUCGCAAGACCUCAUGCUUUUGGAGCGGCCGAUGUCUGAUUAGCUAGUUGGUGGGGUAAAGGCUCACCAAGGCGACGAUCAGUAGCUGGUCUGAGAGGACGACCAGCCACACUGGAACUGAGACACGGUCCAGACUCCUACGGGAGGCAGCAGUGGGGAAUUUUGGACAAUGGGCGCAAGCCUGAUCCAGCAAUGCCGCGUGAGUGAAGAAGGCCUUCGGGUUGUAAAGCUCUUUUGUCAGGGAAGAAACGGCUCCGGCUAAUAUCCGGGGCUAAUGACGGUACCUGAAGAAUAAGCACCGGCUAACUACGUG